UCAUUUGAUGCAUCUCAAAAUCCCAUAAGGCUUCUGGUCAACAGAGGAAAACACGCUUUUGCUGUUAAAAUGAGACUUGAAGAUUUUUAGAAAAUGACACUGUGAAGAUAAGAUGGCACCACGGUCAAUUCCAUCUUAGCAGCACUACGUGGGAUGGAACAUUACAACCUAAAGAUGAGUCCAUAUUUUCUCUGAAGUGGGGAGCUAAGUGAAUUGUACUCUUUUUUUGUUCUCCCAGCCCCAAUGAGAAGCGGCAAGGGAUUCAGAUAACAUGUGAAGGAGGCAGAGGUUAAGGAACAAGGACUUCCAGGAUCCAGUUCUAUUCUGUACGUCAGUGAUCAGAUAGAGUAUUUUUGGUGCCAAGGAAGACUCUGAAGUUUUUAGAUCUGAGGAUAAAUAGCCAUCAGUAACCACAACUCCUCUCAUCUCCUUGGAGGCCACAGAUCAUAUAGCCUAUGUCACGAUCAAGAGACUCCAUGUCCUGCAGAGAAGCAUCUGAUUGGACAAGUGGAGGUUACAAGCCCAUGCUGCCAGAACUCAGAAGUUUCCUCUUCAGGUUUCUAUAGUAAGAGAAUGUAGGUUCUGCUUGCCUUUCCUGUUCCCAGAAGCUGCUCCAAGGACAUGGCUAUUUGGCAGCAGGAAUCCUUUCAUCUUGUUGAUGCCCAAGCUCUUCCAAAACCCAGAGGACAUGGGCCUUCUGCUGAAGAUAAGCUUACAACAUCAAAAGAGAUGGUGCCUUGAGAUGUGAAACUAUGGGCGUGAAGAUACCUAAAGAUGUAUCUGUCCUGGCACGUGACUCACUCCAUUAACAGAACACAUCUGCACACCCGACAAGACAUCUUCCAAAAAGCAGAGGCUGGGGAAGAGCAAAAUGAUGGUAAGCUUUCUCAGGAGCAUGAGGGAACAAGAAGCUGUGUUUGUUCCUGCCAUGUGUCCAGAACGGCCUUCCUAACAGUAUCCACAGUGAAGACUUCCCAAACCAUCCACCAGCUGUUGAUGUCCUCUCUACCGCCGGAGUCCACGGCGCUCACCUAAAUUCUAUGCUCUCACUGUCCUCCAACAUUUAGACUCCUGAACUGAUCACUUUCUUCAUCUUGCAAAACUGUCCCUUACUGGCUUCUGUGUCACUGCACUCGCCUGUGUUUCCUUCUACACUUUACCACCUACUCACUUUCCAUCACUUCCUCUCAAUAGUGGGAUCUUUCCAGGCAAGAACUUUCUGCUCCAUGACUUUGAUACCGUUCAUACGAUGACAAUUCCUCCAAAUGCUACCACUAAUCCCAAUGCAUCAGGAGCUCCAGACCUGUAUGUCCAGUCUCUCACAUGACAUUUCUC